GGCAGUGCUUCCAUUCCAAACAAACCACACACAUCCUUCUCCAGGGGUUGCAAGCUUCAUGAUCAGCAGCAAAGGUGAUAUCCUGGGAGACUUCAUGAGCAACUGUAGGUUGAGCAUCCGAAAUCCCCAAAUCAGAAAUCUGAAAUGCUUCAAAAUUCCAAACUGAAGUGGCGAAUUUCACCCUGACCUUAUGGGCUGGUGCUUUCUGUGUCCACACCGUCACCGUGCAGGGCUGGCCAUUGUUGAAGUCGAAUGAAUCUGUGUCCUUAACUUCCCCAAACACACCAGCACAUCAUGUGAGCAUCCGAUGCCAGCAGGUUGAUGAUGAGAGAACCACCCCGACACACAGAAGCCAGCCAGAGUCCUGCAGUGUCCAACAUGUCAUCUCUGGAUGCGUUUCAUAUGCGCUGUACCUGGUGUGCUGCGGUGGGAAUGAUUUCCAGAUCUGCCGGGACUGAUCGGUGCUGGGAAGCUCUUUCCAAGUCUCUCCCUCCAGUGAAUCUCUAGACACAGUUGAUGUCACCACUCUGAAGAUGGGCAAGCAUGGUCCCUUCCUCAGUGUUGAGAAGAAAGUCUAAAGGGGCCUCCCACGUGGCAUGAGGACUUCGGCCAAUGCCUGUGUGCUCCCACCUGGGACCCUGUGCUGCAUGGGAAAACCAUCUUGGGGAGUGGCUUCGUGGGUGUUCUCAAGGGCAACCCAGCUCCACAGAUGCCCCAUCUACCCAGGUAUCUCUGGCGGUGGCUCUAUUAUCUACAUCCGUCAUCUGUCAAGAGAUUUGCGGUAAGAACUGGCUUCUGUGAUGUGGAGCCUGGCAAGCCCUGCAGCCUGAAGCUGAGCAGCUGGAGGAGGGCUGGGGAGCUGCUGGAGGAAGCGCCCAUGGACACCGGAGUCAAGGCAGGAGACCCGUGGCCUGGCUGGGAGACUGUGAGGAAGUGAGAAGAAAAUUCUUCCUUGUUCAGCUUUUUAUUCCAUUCAGGUCUUCGGUGAUUGAAUGAUGUCCACCCACACCAGUGAGGGAGACAGCUUCCCUCGGUCCAGGGAUUCAGAUGUGGAUCUCGUCCAGAAAUGUCCCCAGAUACUGUGCCUGACCAAGAAUCUGGAUAUUGAGGCCCUGUCAGGAUGACAUAAAAUUAUCCCCCACAGGUGACACUGCCUUGGUUCAUCUCUACACGGAACUCCAGGCAGACCCCUCUUCACUCUUAGAGUAUGUAUUUGGGGGACUCCGAGCGACAUGAGCAGAUUGCUUCAGAACACGUCUUUUCUGAAUAAUUGUUGCUGAGUACAGGGAAGGAGGAAAAGGUGUGGAAGGACCCUGUACUUAUCAAGAAGAGUCGCAGGGAUGCAGCCGCUUCUCAGAAAGGAGCAUGGAGCUGCAGAGAUACAGCCGCGUUAGGGGAGCCAGGUUUCCCAGCUCUUCCUCGGUUGCUUAGAGAAUGCACCUGCCAAAGACAUCUGCCGCUAUGGGCUAGUGACAAGCUUCUUUUGCUUUUAAAGUACAUUCUACUUAAAAUCCAAGCUUCAGCCAGAAGCAGUAUUACUCAGAAGACAUUUUUGGCUAAUAGUCACUUCUUAAAGGGAACAGGAAAUUGUGUCUGAAGUGGAUUUUGUGAUGUGUUUUCUUGAAUUAGUAAUUCAAACACACUUGAAUUAGUAAGCGCUGCAUUUUAUAGCCCUAACCCUGAAACAAUUGCGUUACUAAUUUUGUUUUAUUUUUUCUACAAAACUUCACAUCACUCAGACAGUCUGUUCUUACCAUUGGCUAUAAGAACAGUGAGAAAUAGAGCUAAGAGGAUGGAAGGAACCCUACAUAAUGGAAUAUGAUGGGAUCAUUUCUCAGUCACAGCCCACAUGUACACUGCACACAUUAACCUGAAGUCUUCAUUGGAAGUGGGAUUAGAACUUGGCAGUGAAUGAGGUGCUCAGCCCACCUAUUAACCACACUGUUUUAGGCGUUUUAUUGCCUCUAACUGCUGUAGUGAUGAACAUUUUCCCAGGUUUGGGUUUACAGAAGAGGCCUUAGCAGCUUUCAACUGCUUAGAGGUAAGUUCAACUUUGUGAAAUGGCCACAAUACAUCUUGUUCAGUCGUGAGUGGGAGCCAUAAAAACCGUCUAGAGACACAGCCACUCUGAGAUAGACACUGUGGACACACCAGCCCCGGUAGACAGAGGAGCCCUAUGAAGGGGUGCGGGUUGUCCAUCUAGAAUAUUCUUCGGCUCUCUUGUGGCUUGACACAGACUCUCCAUUGAGUUCCAAAAAAUGCCUUUACUCAGGAAAGUUCUCUUGUUAAUAGUGAAAUACUCACAUAAAAUAAGAAAGGGCAAAGCAAACGUGGAUGGUUUCCACUGUCUUCCAACCUGAAGACGUGCCUCAGAUACUUAGCAAAGGGAAAUAUAGUACCCAAAUUGUAUGUAGCCAGAACUCUUUGACAGAGAAUAUUUGGCGGACAUCAACGGCGUGGUGACUUUUAAGAUGACUCCCCAGCCUUCGCUCUCAGUGCUGACAGAAUGGAUCCGAUGGAUGCAUUUUCAAGCUGGAUUCUCAGUUGUGCAUCCUCUUUUUCUGGCGCCCUGAGCUCCUGCCUCUCCACUGGCCUGUGUCUCCCAUGAUUGACAGAUAUGGACCCGCCUCUAAGCAGCAAGACCUGCACAGCCGGACCUGCCACCCUCUUUGUCACACGGGAAGUGCGCGACUGAGAUUAUGGUAAACUGGGGAAAAAUUAAGGCCCAUUAACGACCUCGCUCACCAACGGCCCCUCAUUUCCUGCCCUUCCCUCAUCUCAUUCUCCCUUUCCCCCCCCACUUCGCUCUUUCUCGGGGGCUUUUCAGGCCCCUGUGGAAAGAUCCUGUUUAGACUCUAGGUGUUAAUUAAUUACCUGGCACCAUUUUGCUGCCAACUCCAAGCACUAAUUGCUCCAAGUUUCUCUAAACCUAAGGUUUUCUUUGGCUCCCAGGAGUUUCUGAGUCCUCCUUUCAUCCCCUGCCUUCUCUUUCUCUCUCCCAAGAGACUCUGAAUUGCUUUUGAAAGGAGAUCUGGGAUGUGCCCUGUGUCUGUCCCCAGGGGUCCAGAAUCCACGUGUUUGGGUAGCUAGGAGCAGGCAUGGAACACAGCGCAUCUGCGACCUGCUACCUGCCCUGUGGCCCGUGCAGCUGAGUGAGGGCCCCUGGGCCACAUAGCACGUCAUUCACCCCUGCAAAGGGUCCCCGGGUUUCUACAGAGAUCCCUGGAUUGUCAUCAUUAAAAUAUCUGUGGAAGAUUCUGCAGGAAGAGCUGGGAGGAUGAGGAACACCUGGUGGGAGCCUCUGGCCGGAUUCCAGCCCUAACACACACUCAAAGCAAGAUAUGGGCUGAGUACAUGGUUUAGGGAUAACAGCCUCGAAUCGCUCCAGCCGGCUGUGGGCACACUCUCCAUCCGGAGGAGCAUCCUGUCCCUCCAAGCUCACUCCAGCUACGCUUUCUCUGCGAAUUCUGGCCAUUCUUGAUUUAUCUUCAGCUUAGGGUCAGAAAUUCAUAUGCUGAGUAGAGUAAUUUUGUCUUGUAAUUUAGAAAUAAUUGAAAAUAGGGCAGAACCUCAGCGGACAGUUUUUCAGCAUCCUCAAUGUGCCAGGUCCCUGCCUCCACCUUCCACCCUUCUCCCUGCCCCAUGGAGGACACCGUCCUCUGCAGGGAGCAUUGAAGGGCUUCCUCAAUGAUGGAACCAUGGUAAACUUGUCCUCUCAGGUAUGGCAGCAUAGGCCUUGCAUGUGUUGACCUUAUGUAUUGCUUGGGGUAGCGUGCUGAACGGCGUCCCUCCCACUCCCUAGUAAAACCUAUGCCCCACAAGACCCUGUGACUGUGACCAUAUAUGAGAAAGGGGUUUUGGCAGAUGGGGUUAAGUGAAGGAAGUUGACCUUAGCUUACCCGCAGGCAGGGGUUCAGGUCACUGUAUCCCGAGUGCUCCCAGGAUAACUUGGAAGGGCAAAGUGCAGCUGGACUUUACAUGGGAGGGAGUUCAACACGGGCCAGCAGGUCCAGGGGGGGCAGGCCUCACGUGGAAGGGAUGCUGAUGGCUUCUGCAGCCUUCUGCUCACUGAAGGAGAGAUCCCAGACACAGACACGGGGGAAGGCCCCCCGCAGAUGGAGGCAGAGAUGGGAGCAACGCAGUCACAGGCAAGGAGCAUCCGCAGCCACCAGGAGCGGAAGAGCCAGAAAGUCCUCCUCAUGAAGCUUCCAGAGGGCCAGGGCUUUGCUCGUACCUUCACCUUCAAUUCCUGACUUCAGAACUGGGAAAAAAACAUUUUGUUGUGUUAAGCCGAACUUGAUUGGUGGUGAUUUGUUACAGCAACUCCAGAAAACGAACACAGAGCAGCAGUAGCUCAUAAACAGGCGCUUGGUGGCCACUAGCCUCAUUUUUGCCAUUAUAAAUAAGGAAAAUCCGCAAAGGUAAAAAUGUUGUGUUCAAAGAACGACUCACAGUCCUGUUGACAGCCUGAUGUGUGCAGAGCUGCCUCUAGGUGUUCCUUGCAAACCCAAGUCUCUUCCUAAACAAGAACUCACUUUUGCCUGAAAGGGCUGCCUGGCCUCUGCAUCCUGCUCUUUGGAAAAGAGCCGGCAGGGAUCACCAGUGUGAUUCCAGAAGUCUUCCUAGGCUACCAACUUCUGGCUCGCUCCGGGCCACACCUGUGAGACCUGCCUCCCUCCCUCGACCCUCAUGCCCCGCAUGCUGCCUGUGUCCCGCUCAGUCCCUGCAUGCUGCUUUCAUGGGUGUAUCUGUGGAGUGUCCUUGAGCCCCAGAACUGGAUGUUUAUUCCCCUGCUGUGGCCAUCCCUGCAGCAUAGAAACCUCCACUCUGGAAGCCAGAGAACUCUCUUGAAAAAAUGAAAUCAUGCCUUAACAAGAAAUGCCAGCUGCGAAGACAGACAUCCUCUGACAGAGGCAUGCCCCCCAGGCCGCAGCCCCGCUUCCAGAGUCCGGCCGGCACUGGCCUGUCCACUUCCUGCCAGAGGAAACCUGAGGCGGCCCCAGCUUGGCGGCCAGCUUGGUCGGUGGAGGGAGCGACUGUAAUGAAGUGCUGGUUUUCUGCUCCCUGAACCUGUCAUUUAUUUAUGGUGCUUGGCGGGGUUGGCCUGGACCAGUCUCACUAGCCGAGUUUGAGCAGAGACUUUUGUCUGACACAUUAAUAGGCCGAUUCCCUGGACAGCAAGUGACAUGCAGCCCUGCUUUUCACACAUGGGCCUCGCUGCGGGAUGCGGACCUGCAGGAAGGGAACAGCAGAGGGUGUGAAAGUAAAAGUCACUCUAAAGAUUUCCACGCCCCAAGGGCUGUGGGCCAGACUUCGGAUCUGUAGGAAAAUGACUCCAAGUUUUCCUUUCACGGGCAAAGGCAUUGACUUUCAAUGAACUGCUGGCAGCUGGGGAAGGCCAUCUAGACAUUUCUGGACGAGUUGCUUUCAAACACGGUCAACUUUACUUAUAAAUCUGAAAGACAUGUCGUUGACCUUGAACUUUGUGUAAUUUGGGGGAGCCUCCUUGCACAAUUGUCCUUCCACCUGGUUUCUGGAGCAGAUUCAUUUGCCACCACCCAGAGCUGAGGUUUGAAAGCAAGAGCCAGGGAGGAGGUUGCUGAACAGGAGGACCCAGGAACACAGAGGUCCCAUCAGAUUCCCUCGGGAGAAAGAGAAGGCAACAGUGUUUAGAAUCAUGGACAUUUAGAUAGAAGGAAGAUGCUGGAGGGUUUGGGGGAGCUUGGUCUAUUUUCAAGUGAGUCUAAAACUAGCCAUGGUUAUUUUUAUUCCAGUCCCAGGCAGAAGGGAGAGGCCCUUCACCGCCUGCUUGCUGCUGCCCUGGCAUCUGGCGUCCAGGGCCUGUGAAGGAAUCUGUCAGGGAGACGUACAUCACAACUCAGUCCAGCCGGACGCAGGGGCUCACACCUGCAUCCCAGACACUCAGGAGGCCCAGGCGAGGGGAUCCCUUGAGCCCAGUUCAGGACAAGCCUGGGUAACAGAAUGAGCCUUGUCUCUACAAAAAAUAAAAUAAGCCCACUGUGGUGGUAUGCCUACAGUCCCUGCUAUACAAGAGGCUGAGGCAGGAGGAUCUCUGAUGCCCGGGAGGUGGAGGCGCUAGUGGGCUAUGAUUGCCCCCUACACUCCAACCCGGGAGACAGACUGACAGCCUUGAACAAAAAUCAUAGUUGCCGCUAACUGCACUUAGUGGAAUUAUAAAAUGUGAGGAAUUAAGCCAGUGCUGACGGCUCUAUGUUGGAAUACAUACUCAGAAUUCUUGACUUUUUGGUAGCUCCAUAUACGUUUUCUACCUUAAAAAUCUGAAAGCUGUUUCCUGGUAAUUUAUUAGAAGAAAAUAUGAGAUUUUUUUUAAUCCAUUCAGCCCUGGGCGUCUCAGUUUGGCCUUCUGGCUUAUGUCAAAGACCCACUAUUUAAACUUGUAACCCUGAAUGACAAUGGAAGGCCAUGAGUUCCCACUGAAAGGGAGCUUAUAAAUGUGGGCCAUGCCAUCACUAUGGCACGUGGGCCCCACAGUCACGGUUGACUCCAAGACUCUACAGUGGCCAAAGCCAGGUGCUACGUGAUCGCCUCCGGAAAGUAAGUAGGAUGGGCUCACAGACUCUUAGUCAGAAGCCCAAAUAUGUGCAAAAAAAGUCUCCGCAGAAAGCCACAGAGAGCUGGCAGGAGAAACUGUGUGUGUAGAGCUGUGUGUGCAAGGUGUAUACCUGUAGGGCUGUGUCUAUGCAAAGUGUGUGUGUGCUGAGUGUGUGUGUGCACACAAGGUAUGUGUGUGCAAGGGGUGUGUAUGCAAGGUGUGUGUGUGAGGGAUGUGUAUGCAAGGCCAUCUCUGUGCAGGGUGUAUGUACAGGGUUGUCUGUGCAGGGCUAUGUGUGCAUAUAAGGCUGUGUAUGCAAGGUGUGUGUGUGUGUGCAGAGUAUGUGUGCACAAGGCUAUGUGUGCAAGGUAUACAGGUCUGUGUGUGCAUGUGUGCAGGGUGUGUGUAUACAGCAUGUGUGUACAUGGCUAUGUGCAUAUGAAGCUGUGUGUGCAAUGUGUGUGUGU